rnacentral:rRNA from 1 species
CACUCCUACGGGAGGCAGCAGUGGGGAAUAUUGGACAAUGGGCGCAAGCCUGAUCCAGCCAUGCCGCGUGAGUGAUGAAGGCCCUAGGGUUGUAAAGCUCUUUCACCGGUGAAGAUAAUGACGGUAACCGGAGAAGAAGCCCCGGCUAACUUCGUGCCAGCAGCCGCGGUAAUACGAAGGGGGCUAGCGUUGUUCGGAUUUACUGGGCGUAAAGCGCACGUAGGCGGACUAUUAAGUCAGGUGUGAAAUCCCGGGGCUCAACCCCGGAACUGCCUUUGAUACUGGUAGUCUUGAGUUCGAGAGAGGUGAGUGGAAUUCCGAGUGUAGAGGUGAAAUUCGUAGAUAUUCGGAGGAACACCAGUGGCGAAGGCGGCUCACUGGCUCGAUACUGACGCUGAGGUGCGAAAGCGUGGGGAGCAAACAGGAUUAGAAACCCCAGUAGUCCC